GGCCGGUCCAAAGGUAGUGAGUUGUCUCAAGUGAUUGUUCACAGUCAGUUACAGAUUGAACUCCCUGUUCUACACUUUCCCCCCGUCUCACUACUGCACUUGACUAGUCUUAA
rnacentral:Y_RNA from 1 species